UACGUAGGGUCCGAGCGUUGUCCGGAAUUACUGGGCGUAAAGAGCUCGUAGGUGGUUUUGUCGCGUUGUUCGUGAAAAACUCACAGCUCAACUGUGGGCGUGCGGGCGAUACGGGCAGACUGGAGUACUGCAGGGGAGACUGGAAUUCCUGGUGUAGCGGUGAAAUGCGUAGAUAUCUGGAGGAACACCGGUGGCGAAGGCGGCAUCCUGGACCGGCAUUGACGCUGAGGCGCGGAAAAGCGUGGGGGAGCAAACAGG
rnacentral:rRNA from 1 species